AGCGCCCGCCGGGAGGCCGGCCGCGGGGCGCUCCCCGCGUCCAGGCCGCCGCGGCACCGUCCCGGAACCCUGCGCCGCCGCCGCUCGCCCCGCCGGCCGGCCGGCCGCUGCCGGCGCCCUGGCUCCUUUUGUCCCCAGCGCGCGGCCCGCCCGCUCGCUCGGCGCGGCUCCCGCCGACGCCCGGGCGCUGGAAAGGGAAGUUGUGCGCUUCAGGUCCACUCGGUCGGGCUGCGUGCGUACUUCGGGAAACACACUCGGCGAGGAGCCCCGUGUGCUUAAGCAGGCCACCCCCGGACUUUCACCGGGAAACGCGCUUUUGUGUCGUCUCCGUUAUCGUGCUGAGGGGCUAGGAGGAAUUUAGCAGCGGGCUUUAAAAGAGUGCUGCGAAUAAGCCAAGGUGCAGCCGAGAGUUAAUUCCAGUUACUAAACAGUUACCUUGGAGCGGAGCCUGCAAGGUCUGACCCCGAGGGUUUGCAGUGGCUGUCUGAAGGAUGCUCACUUCCUGGAAUCCUUAACAGAUGAUAUCUGCUUCUCGGGAAGAGCUAGUGCAAGUUAAGAGGUUCUGGGAGUCUUCAGAAGGUUCCCAAGUCAGUCUUUUGGGCACCGGACACAGCUAAUCUACAUUGGAAGAGAGCUAAGAGCCUUAGUCCCUGGACGGGUGAUUACUUCACCGCGCCCCCACCUGUGUUCCGGCUGAUUGCAUUGCUGAAUGCCGUGUAUCUGGAUGCGGAAGCUCUGCUCUUUGAUGUCAACACACGUGCACCCACAGAGGUUCCCCAAUGUCUAGAACAAAACUUUUAAGUAAAUUAUGAGGGUAAUUGAUUGAAUUCUGUGUAUGCACAGUGAAGCUGAUAAGCAGUAUUUAUUUACUGAAAGAAAUGCGUGUAUGUAUGUUUCAGAUCCUUGGCAGGCCUAGAGUUUGCAGAGUGAGGAGUAGGAAGUGGAUCUCUGGAAGCAUGAAGACAACCCCAGCCAGACUGCUCUGUAGGACCACCAGGCUCUGCCUGUGCUCCUCGAGGUGCUAAGUUGGGACUCUGCAGGCUUGUGUCACCAGUGUGGCACGUCUGUGGCUGCAUUCCUGUGCUUCCUCCCGUCACUGCCUGGGGGACGUGUGUGGUGUGUCCCAGGUGCCUGGUCGUCCAGACAGGGAGGGGAGCCUGCACACCUCCAUUGUGGCCUGGACAUGGACUCACUUCCAGCUUCACUCUUCCUCUGCAAGGACGUGCGGAGGGGCUGUGUGUGUGCUGUCGCGGUGGUGGGGCCCCCGUCCUUAGGACCAGCAGCCAGUGCCCCCUGUACAGACCUGCGUCCCCACGGCGAGGCUCGCGGGAGUGGCCUGAGAGACGGAACGGCUGUGAAAGGGUGACCACCAUGAGUGCCGGCACUCGGGGGCACUCGGACCAGCUCUCCACCGACCUGAGACUCUAGCAUGAGGAGGGAACCGGGAUAGUUAUGGUCGGCCAUGGAGGACAACCAGGACACUGGCCCCAAAGGGGACAGUGAUUUUGUUUCUGAUAAAAUAAGUUUCAAAAUAGAGGAGGAAGAAGAUGAUCCAGUCCCCAGCCACUGUUUGGAAGGAGUGGACUUUCAGAGUGAGCAGGAGGACGUGAGGCACAUGGACAGUGGUGAGGAGCAGGCGGAGGGCGGGGUGGGCCGUGCCUGCCGGCCCCCCGGGAAGUGCUUCCCUGCCGAGGGCGAGGAUGGCUGCGGGGCUCUGUUCUCCCAGUACAGCAGCACGCUGUACAGCGUGGCCAUGGAGGCCGUGGCCCAGAGCCUGCUGUCCAGCCACCACGUCAGCUCCAGGAAGAAGUCUCCAGCAUGGAGGCACUUCUUCAUCUCCCCCCGAGAUAGCACGAAAGCGAUAUGUCGCUACUGCAUGAAGGAGUUCAGCCGUGGCAAGAACGAGAAGGACCUGAGCACCAGCUGCCUCAUGCGGCACGUGCGACGGGCGCACCCCACCAAGCUCGGGCAGGAGAGCGGCAGCGUGUCCGCAGGCUCCUCCUUGCCCUCGCCCUCGCUCCUGCUCCCGCCGCAGCCUGCAGACGUGGGGGACCUGGGCUCCGCUCUCCUGCCUGUCAGGCUUGCCCAGAAGAUGACACCUACGCUCCCGUCCCCUGACCACACGCAGGAGGAGCCCGUGUCCAUGGCCUCUUCUGAAGUCCCUGACGUGCCGGUCACUGAGAAGUGCAGCAGAGAGGAGGCCCUGGCUGGGUCUUCCCCCCGCCUCGCGGUGCUCCAUUACGAUGAGACCACAGAGGGCGUGGCAGAGAGAAGCCUUCGCCUUCCCAAGAGCACGUCCGGGUCCAGGAGGAGGUCGGCCGUCUGGAAGCAUUUCUACCUGUCUCCACUGGACAGCUCCAAGGCCGUCUGCGUGCACUGCAUGAACGAGUUCAGCAGGGGCAAGAACGGGAAGGACCUGGGCACCAGCUGCCUCAUCCGCCACAUGUGGCGGGCGCACCGCUCCAUCGUGCUGCAGGAGAACGGCGGCGGCACAGGCCUCCCACCCCUGUACCCUACGCCCCCCACCCUGCUGCCCGCCCUGCUGCCUCCAGAGGGGGAGCCCGACUCCGUGUCCUCCUCUCCAGGAAAGCCGGUCCAAGAGUGCCCCUCGGCCUCCUCGUCCCCGGACAGGCUGACUGAGGACCUGCUGUUGCGCGCACACCCUGCAGGUGCACUUGGGGACACAUCCGUGCUGUCGUCCUCCGAGGAUGUGGGCGAGGCCUCUGUGGGCACCUCUCCUGAGCAGCAGGCCAGCGGGCUGAGCCCGAGAAGGUGUGAGUCUGGUGCCGUCUUCCAGCAGAAUAAGAAGGUCAUGAAGAGGCUGAAGUCAGAGGUGUGGCACCACUUCUCUCUGGCCCCCACAGACAGUCUGAAGGCCGUGUGUCGGUACUGUGGCUGCGUCAUCAGUCGCGGGAAGAAGGGGGAUGUGGGCACCAGCUGUUUGAUGCGGCAUCUGUACAGACGCCACCCUGAGGUGGCCGGGACCCAGAAGGGCUUCCUGGGUGCGAGUUUGGCGAACUCCCCAUACGCCACUUUGGCUUCUGCAGAAAGUUCCUCCUCCAAGUUACCUGGCUUGCCAGCGGUGGUCAGAAGAAACCAAGUCGUGUUUCCCGUCAGCAGCAAGAAGACCUCCAAGCUGUGGAAUCACUUCUCCGUGUGCUCUGCGGACUCCACCAAGGUGGUGUGUCUGCACUGCGGCCGGACCAUCAGCAGGGGCAAGAAGCCCACCAACCUGGGCACCAGCUGCCUCCUGAGGCACCUGCAGAGGUUCCACGGCCAUGUGCUCAAGACUGACGUCCACCCCGAGACCACCCCGUCCCGCUCUCCAGGCGCCCUGGGGCCACUGAGCACGGAGUUGUCAAGCACUUCCUCCUUCGAUGACCCCAGUGAGAAGCUUUAUGACUCUCACCCAGUUGCCAAAAAAAUCACCAAUCUGAUCGCAGAGAUGCUCGCCCUUGACCUGCAGCCGUACUCCUUCGUGGACAGCGUGGGCUUCAGCAGGCUGCUGGAGUACCUGAAGCCCCAGUACUCGCUGCCCUCCGCCUCCUACUUCUCCAGGACCGCCAUCCCCGGGAUGUACGACAGCGUGAAGCAGAUGGUUCUGUCACAGCUGAAGGAGGCCGAGAGUGGCGUGGUCCACUUCACGUCAGGAAUAUGGACGGGCACUCAGACCCGCGAGUACCUGACCCUCACCGCCCACUGGGUCACCUUCGCGUCCUCGGCCCGCCCACACUGUGAGGACCACCACUGCUCGGCGCUGCUGGACGUGUCGCAGAUCGACUGUGCCUAUGGGGGCAGCAGCAUCCAGAAGCAGCUGGAGUGCUGGUGGGAGGCGUGGGUGACCUCCAUCGGCCUGCAGGUCGGCAUCACUGUCACCGACAACCCGAGCGUCGGCAAGAUCCUGGACGAGGCCGAGCACUCGAGCGUGCCCUGCUUCAGCCACACGGUGGACCUGAUCGUGAACGAGGCCGUCAAGAGCCAGAGGAUGGUGCAGAACCUACUGAGCAUCGCUCGGAAGCUGUGCGAGCGGGUCCACCGGUCCCCCACGGCCAAGGAGAAGCUGGCCGCGCUGCAGCGGGAGUACGGGCUGCCGCAGCACCCCCUCAUUCAGGACGUGCCGUCCAGGUGGAGCACCUCCCUGCACAUGCUGGAGCGGCUGCUGGAGCAGAAGCGGGCCAUCAACGAGAUGUCCGUCGAGUGCAGCUUCAGAGAGCUCAUCAGCUGCGACCAGUGGGAGGUCAUGCAGUCCGUGUGCCAUGCGCUGAGGCCCUUUGAUGCCGCGAGCCGGGAGAUGAGCGCCCACGUGUCCACUCUGAGCCAGGUCAUCCCCAUGAUCCACAUCCUCAGCAGGAAGGUCGAGAUGCUCUUUGGGGAGACCAUGGGCAUUGACACCAUGCUGAAGUCGCUGAAGGAAGCCAUGGCGAGCCGCCUGUCUGCCAGCCUCCACGACCCCAGGUACGUCUUUGCCACGCUGCUGGACCCUCGCUACAAAGCCUCCCUGUUCACAGAGCAGGAGGCGGAGCAGUACAGGCAGGAUCUAAUCAGGGAGCUAGAAAUACUGGAUUCUACCUCAGAGGACACAGCCACCUCUGAAGGCUGUGACUCAGGGCCCCCGUCGAGAGACUCUGGCGGAGGGGAGAGCCUGUGGUCGCUGGUGGCCAAGGUGAAGAGGGGAGACCGGCGGGAGCGGCUGCCUGAAGAUGUGGUGCUGGCCUACCUGGAGGAGGAGGUGCUGGACCACAGCUGCGACCCGCUGGCCUACUGGAACCUGAAGAGGGCGUCCUGGCCCGGGCUGUCCACCUUGGCCGUCAGAUUUUUGGGCUGUCCCCCCAGUACCGUCCCAUCAGAAAAGCUGUUCAGCACGCCCACAGAGAACGGCAGCUUUGGCCAGCCCCGGCUCACGAUGGAGCAUUUUGAGAAACUCAUCUUCCUGAAGAGAAAUCCAGCAGCACCGUGCCCGAGGAGCCUUGAUGAAAUGGGGCCUGGUGCUGUCCGCUGGCCUCAGCUGCCCAGCUCUGCUCAGGGCAGGCCGCCGCUUCCCACUGACCUCUGUGGAUGCUCCGCCUGUCGACAGGCAAGGCUUGGUUCAGGGAUUCCAGGAUCUCCUGAUGCUGCACAGGACCCGCGGCCAGAGGGGGAACCCAGCUGGUGCCCCAACCGUUUGGGGUCUGGGCCUGCCGGACACGUGUGGCUGAGACUCUGCCUCCAGGCUGCUUUUCUUAGGGCAGACAUGGCCUUUCCCAGUGCGCACAGCAGACCUUGCUUGGCUGGGCCAGGACCUGGGCAUCUCCAGCACCUUCUCAAGGGGAUUUGGGGGCAGGGGCACAUGGCCCCCUGUGCCCUGUACCUGCCCAGCCACUGGGCUAGGGAACCGCUGGGAGUGCGCUGCCCAUGAUGCCAGCCCCAGGUCCUCCAGGCCACCAGACCAGAAGCCUCGUGUUGUCUGCACCAGGAUCUGGAGGACAGAGGAAGGGCAGGGCAAAACCAUCAUGACAUUGGAUUUGGCAGUGGUUCGGGGGGUAUACCAAAGGCACAGGCAAUUAAAGAAGCAAUGGACACAUUGGACUUUAUGAAAAAGAUUUAAUCGUGAACUGAAAGACAUAAUCAACAUUAGAAAGCUUCCCAUGGAACCAGGCUAUGUGGAGAAGGUCUAAAAUUCAAUAACCACAAAACGGGGACUCAGAAGUGGGCAGAGGACAUGAGCACACAUUGCUCCAAAGAAGAUGUACAAAUGACCAAGUAAGCACAUGGAGGUGCCCAGUGUCGCAGAUCAUCAAGGAAGUGCAGGUCGUUAGCAAGAUCCCACCUUGUAGCCAGUGGGGUGGAGCCAUCAAAAAAAAGGGGUGGCAAAGAUGGAGACUCGAGGUCCAGGACCUGUGCACUGCCGGGGCCCAGGAAGCCCCCAAGAUCCAGCCACAUCUUGGGCACGCCAUCAAAAUGAUGUAGAGUAGGGCCUCAGAGAGCCGCCUGUUAACUGUGUUCACAGCAGGGGGGUUGGCAAUGGCCAGAAGGUGGAAGGAAAGCAGCUGUGUGUCUGUGAGUGGUGGACAAGGUGCGGCCUGUUUGUGGAGUCCUGUCCUGCUGGAGAGCAAGGGGGUCCUGGUGCGUGCGGCAUGAGCCCUCUUGACGGGACAAGUGCAGGUGAGUCCACCUGCAGGAAGCCCAGGGCUGCAGACUGAGAGGUCCAGGCAGUGUGGGCGGGACAACCGUGCAGGGGCCCUGUGGCAGCCACUGGCACCAACUGAGCUUAGCAGAUUUCUGUGCACCAGCAACGAAUGUCAGAAACUGAGGGACUGGGGAGAUAGCUCAGUCGGUAGAGUGCUUGCCUUGUAAGCACAGGCCCUGGGUUCGAUCCCCAGCACCCAAAAAAAGAAAAGAAAGAAAGAAACUGGCAAGUGUUGAUACCAUUUGCCAUGGUGUUGGAAGUGUGAGGUGUUCCCAGUAAGUCUAGGAUGCACUCUCUGCAGUGGAAGCCACACACGCCCCAGGAGGCUCAAGAAGUCCCCAACGACACCAGUCCUGGAAUCAACCCGCCAGAGCCCGCCCAGGGGGAGGGCAGAGCAGCUGGCCUCAGCCGGAAUCUGAGUCGGGGCCACCCUUGCAUAACUCAGGUCGUUAGCAAGAGCCGAGGCGGGUGUGUGGGACCCCCCCCUGCAGACCCUGGGGGCCAGACCCUCCCCAGGCCCCCGCAGCCCUCCUCAAAACCAGCGUCUCUUGCCUUCCAGCAGCUCUGUCUCCCAGUAGCUCAGCAGAAGCAGAACUCUCCCAGGCCCCCCGCGCACGGCCCCCAGCUCCUGCACCGCCGCCUCCCACUGGCCCAGCACGGUUGCCCAGUGCCCUCAGGGGACACGAGCCCACGCUGCCGUGUCCUGCAGAGCACUGUCACUGGGCACCUCCAUCCUGCCGCACCGGCCAACCACUGAUCUUACAGACUACAUAUUGAUAUAGAUUUUCCGUGAUAGAUUGAUAUAGAUUUUCCGUGUUGAUUACAUAUUGCUCCCCUUCCCACACACCCCAGAGUCGAAGUCAGCAGUGCCUGGGCUCUUGGUGGUCUUUGGCCUUAGGGGUUGUGUUCCCUUCCCUCACAUCUUCCACCUCACCUCUCUGCAGCGCUAGUUGCACAGUCUGGGUGCCCACAAGUGUUGGAACUCAGCUGCUGCCUGAGGCUUAACCUCCCCUGGGCAAAGACCAGGCCCUGGGGAGGGUUCCGUGGGGGACGUCUGACUCCCUCUUGCAGAGUGGCUGCACUGGGCCGUCCACCCAGGUUGGGCCACUGGAGCGGGCUUGCGGGAGCCUCAUUGCUGUCCUACAUGGAAGUUCCUAGCCACCUUACCUGGAGCCUCGCUUCAUGUGCUCAUUGCCAAUUGUGUCUCUUAGCGAAGAGGCCAGAUAUUCUGUCCAUUUGAAAAUCAUGUUGCUGUGCACUUAGGAUUGAGUUUUGAGAGUUCUCUGUAUGUCUUGGGCAACAGUCCUUUUCAGAUGUCUUGUCUUUCACUGAUAUCAUCUCCCAGCCUGUGGUUUCUCUUGUUAAGUCAACUGAUUUUUU